AGAAAGUGACAGUUUUUUGGGGGUUCUUUGAGAUAUAUAUAGAGAAUUGAGCUCCUAUAUAUGCUUUUAAAAGUAUCAAGUUAUUAGUACUUGUAGAUUUUUGGCCAUUGAAUUAAGAAAUGUGCGGUUAGGAUGAUAUGGGCCGGCUCCUUAGGGUUGAUGAGUGGGUAGUUGGUUGAAUAGUAUAAUCUAACCGACAAAAAUGAUCAAAGAUAUAGAUCUAACAGCAAAAAAUUUAUAAGUACAAGUGCUUGGUGCUUUUGUAAGUACCGUAGCCGGACUCUCUCUCUCUCUCUCUCUAUAUAUAU
rnacentral:lncRNA from 1 species